rnacentral:rRNA from 1 species
ACGGGUGAGUAAUGUCUGGGGAUCUGCCCGAUAGAGGGGGAUAACCACUGGAAACGGUGGCUAAUACCGCAUAACGUCGCAAGACCAAAGAGGGGGACCUUAGGGCCUCUCACUAUCGGAUGAACCCAGAUGGGAUUAGCUAGUAGGCGGGGUAACGGCCCACCUAGGCGACGAUCCCUAGCUGGUCUGAGAGGAUGACCAGCCACACUGGAACUGAGACACGGUCCAGACUCCUACGGGAGGCAGCAGUGGGGAAUAUUGCACAAUGGGCGCAAGCCUGAUGCAGCCAUGCCGCGUGUAUGAAGAAGGCCUUCGGGUUGUAAAGUACUUUCAGCGGGGAGGAAGGCGAUAAGGUUAAUAACCUUGUCGAUUGACGUUACCCGCAGAAGAAGCACCGGCUAACUCCGUGCCAGCAGCCGCGGUAAUACGGAGGGUGCAAGCGUUAAUCGGAAUUACUGGGCGUAAAGCGCACGCAGGCGGUCUGUUAAGUCAGAUGUGAAAUCCCCGGGCUUAACCUGGGAACUGCAUUUGAAACUGGCAGGCUUGAGUCUCGUAGAGGGGGGUAGAAUUCCAGGU